rnacentral:rRNA from 1 species
GCCCGAUGAACCUGAAUAUCCGUUAUGGAAAAUUCAUCAUUAAAAUUGUAAUAUUUAAAUAAUAUUAUGAGGAUAGUGUGCAUUUUUUCCAUAUAAGGACAUUGUAAUCUAUUAGCAUAUACCAAAUUUAUCAUAAAAUAUAACUUAUAGUUUAUUCCAAUUAAAUUGCUUGCAUUUUAACACAGAAUAAAUGUUAUUAAUUUGAUAAAGUGCUGAUAGAUUAAUAUGAUUACAGUGCGUUAAUUUUUCGGAAUUAUAUAAUGGCAUAAUUAUCAUUGAUUUUUGUGUUUAUUAUAUGCACUUGUAUGAUUAACAAUGCGAAAGAUUCAGGAUACUUCGGG